rnacentral:ncRNA from 1 species
CUGAAAACGGCACAACGGGUGGACGUAAUCUUUGAAGAUACGAGCCCUCAUCCGGCGGAUCAAUCCGGCGGAUAUGUGCCCGGUUCAG